GGUUAAGCGACUAAGCGUACACGGUGGAUGCCCUGGCAGUCAGAGGCGAUGAAGGGCGUGCUAAUCUGCGAUAAGCGCCGGUAAGGUGAUAUGAACCGUUAUAACCGGCGAUACCCGAAUGGGGAAACCCAGUGUGAYUCGUCACACUAUCAUUAACUGAAUCCAUAGGUUAAUGAGGCGAACCGGGGGAACUGAAACAUCUAAGUACCCCGAGGAAAAGAAAUCAACCGAGAUUCCCCCAGUAGCGGCGAGCGAACGGGGAGGAGCCCAGAGCCUGAAUCAGCAUGUGUGUUAGUGGAAGCGUCUGGAAAGGCGCGCGAUACAGGGUGACAGCCCCGUACACAAAAGCGCAUGUGCUGUGAGCUCGAUGAGUAGGGCGGGACACGUGGUAUCCUGUCUGAAUAUGGGGGGACCAUCCUCCAAGGCUAAAUACUCCUGACUGACCGAUAGUGAACCAGUACCGUGAGGGAAAGGCGAAAAGAACCCCGGCGAGGGGAGUGAAAAAGAACCUGAAACCGUGUACGUACAAGCAGUGGGAGCACAGGUUUACCUGUGUGACUGCGUACCUUUUGUAUAAUGGGUCAGCGACUUAUAUUCUGUAGCAAGGUUAACCGAAUAGGGGAGCCGGAGGGAAACCGAGUCUUAAUUGGGCGUUAAGUUGCAGGGUAUAGACCCGAAACCCGGUGAUCUAGCCAUGGGCAGGUUGAAGGUUGGGUAACACUAACUGGAGGACCGAACCGACUAAUGUUGAAAAAUUAGCGGAUGACCUGUGGCUGGGGGUGAAAGGCCAAUCAAACCGGGAGAUAGCUGGUUCUCCCCGAAAGCUAUUUAGGUAGCGCCUCGUGAAUUCAUCUCCGGGGGUAGAGCACUGUUUCGGCUAGGGGGCCAUCCCGGCUUACCAACCCGAUGCAAACUGCGAAUACCGGAGAAUGUUAUCACGGGAGACACACGGCGGGUGCUAACGUCCGUCGUGAAGAGGGAAACAACCCAGACCGCCAGCUAAGGUCCCAAAGUCAUGGUUAAGUGGGAAACGAUGUGGGAAGGCCCAGACAGCCAGGAUGUUGGCUUAGAAGCAGCCAUCAUUUAAAGAAAGCGUAAUAGCUCACUGGUCGAGUCGGCCUGCGCGGAAGAUGUAACGGGGCUAAACCAUGCACCGAAGCUGCGGCAGCGA
rnacentral:rRNA from 1 species